rnacentral:lncRNA from 13 species
CUGACAGAGAACAGACACUGUAGUCAUCUGACAGAGAACAGACACUGUAGUCAUCUGACAGAGAACAGACAGUGGUGUAGCUGUCUGCACCACAGCACCAAUCAGAAGCUACUGACCCAUAACACCACAUGGACGUCAAUGCAGAAGGGCUGAGGUCUCUGUUACCCUCCACUCACAUCAGACAGCACUGACUUUCAGAGACCACCUGUUGGCUAUGCAUGAUCUAGUCAGGUCAGUCAAGCAGCUGUAGGUUGGGGCUCUAUGUGUGUUUAGAGCAAUGUUUCCCAGAACUCUCCUAUAGUAGGAUCCACUUACAUCUAACAUUUAACAUUUUAGUCAUUCAGCAACUUUAGUGCAUUCAUCUUCACAUAGCUGGGUGAGACAACCACAUAUCAAAUCAAAAUCUAAUCACCUUUUAUUGGUUGAGUAAACAUAUUUUGCAGAUGUUAUUAGGGGUGUAGUGAAAUGCUUAUGUUCCUAGCUCCAGCUGUACAGUACUAGUACACCUGUUUCAUCUGGUCAACUCAUCAUCAACCUCUGGUCAACCCUUCAUCAUCCUCUGGUCAACCCCUCAUCAACCUCUCUGGUCAACCCAUCAUCAACCUCUCUGGUCAACCCAUCAUCAACCUCUGGUCAACCCUUCAUCAAUCUCUGGUCAACCCUUCAUCAACCUCUGGUCAACCCCUCAUCAACCUCUGGUCAACCCCUCAUCAACCUCUGGUCGACCCCUCAUCAACCUCUCUGGUCAACCCAUCAUCAACCUCUGAUCAACCCAUCAUCAACCUCUGGUCAACUCAUCAUCAAGUUGGUAUUCUGUCAGUUUGUACCAUCACAGUCGUAGCAAGAUCAUGUUCUGUCAAGUCAGUGCUAGUAGGAAAAUACUUUUAAAUACUUGAUUCAUUUAAGGUACUAUUUGAAGAGGUAGGGUUUCAUGUGUUUUCAGAAGAUAGCCAGGGACUCUGCUGUCUUAGCUUCAGGCGGAGGCUGGUUCCACCUUUGGGGUGCCAGGAGAGAGAAGAGCAUUGACUAGGCUGAGUGGUAGCUGACAUCCCCCCCCCAAGCACACCUAAUUCCAACUAAUCAAGAACAUGAUGAUUAGUUUCCCAGAUGAAACAGGUAUGUUAGUACUGGGGUAGAUCAGUGGAAGACCACCUGUUGAUGGAAGUAGAACGGCUGGGGGACUCAGAGAGCGGUUUGGGGACCACUGGUUUGAGUGUCAGACUGGUAUGAUUCAGGCCUGCUUGAUGGCUGUCAUAAAGGGAAUGGGUGUAGAGUGGAAAAGAAAGAGUGAAAUAAACCACUGCCAAAAAGAUGACUCACUUUGCCGAAGAGGAACUUCUUGACCAUGCGCAGGAUGAGGUAGGCCCAGAAGAUGUGCAGGAACAGGAGGACCACCAGCAUGACGUUGAAGAAGUAGUAACCAAAGAACGGGGGGUACUGGAGUGUGGGGUACACCCACGUACAGUGGAUCAGCCUGGAAUGACGUAACCAAUACAGACAAUGAUGCUGAUGAUGGUAAUGCAUUUUAUUUGCAAGAUACUUUUUCACAAACCCGAAGUGCUAAAAUAUACAUUUAUAUGAUACAGACUACUAGAUAUGAUAAGCUCUGUUAAACAUUUAAACUUGUACUGGGUGGUGUUCAGUGUGCAUGGAGCGUGAGAAAACAACGUGAAGCAGAGGCGGUAUAACCAGUAAGAAUUGAAUAGGAUUAUUUUUCCUAUUUAAAAAUGUUUUUGCUUUUCAUGCCUCCUAAACACAAGCCUUUGUGAAGGAAAUGAAUGGCUACUCUUUGCUUUAUAGGGGUUUUUCAUUAUUGAAAUAAGUAGGUAAAUACUAUGUAACUAUCUGUACAAAAAUGAUAGCUAA